rnacentral:tRNA from 1 species
GGGGCUGUGGCUCAGUGGUAGAGCAUCUGCUUGGCAUGCGGAAGGUCCCAGGUUCAAUCCCUGUCAUCUCCA